rnacentral:piRNA from 1 species
UACAUGGUCAUUUUAUUCUGG